GGAAGCGGAUGGGUAACUGGUGUUCCCACCAGUCUUCAAAACUGCGUUAGGGGCUUUGGUCCUUGGUAGGUUCGAUUCCUACACGCUUCCGCCA
rnacentral:tRNA from 1 species